CGGAGCUGAAGGCUCUGCCGUGGGAAGGGAGCGCCGCAAAUAGCGGUCGUUUCAAGGAGACCGGAGAGCAGCGAUGUCCCGGGCACAAUGCCUAUGUUAUAUAGGCAAGCUGAAGCUGGAAUGGAAAAAGAAAGUUCCUACUGCAAAAGCAGCAAAGCUGGAAUGUGCUCUGAAGACUCAAGAUUGCUUUUCAGCUCUGUAGGUGUGAAUGGCACCACUCUGUGUGUUCCAAUUGCUCCCCCUGAACAGCACUGCUUCUCCUGAACAAUCAGCUCCCUCUGGAAGUGCCAGUCCACAACCCUCCUGGAGCUAAGUAACCUGGAUUUUUGACCUCCCGCCAGCUCCUCAGCUCUGUCAGGCAAGUUAAUACUUGGGAAGGGAUGUGGAAAAUAUAAAUAAGACACCCUGAGCAAGAAAAGCAUGCUCAAGUCUGACUGUGUGAGUCCGAGAAUCCGGGGGAAUAUGCAAAGCACAGUCUGUUUAUGCAAGUUAGUAACUAGAAGAGCCAUGAAAAGGAAAGCUGUGAGGAGCAGUUCUGACUAUAAGCAAACCUAAUAAUUGCUUUGCGUCGUUCACAUCUGAUUUCAGAUUCAGUGAGAAGGAGGAUCUGUGUACAAUUCUGUUUUGAGAUGUACAAAGCCUUCUACUAGCUGAAAUCAAUGUAUGAAGUCAGGGCAAGGAUAAGACAGCGCAGACAGGUCAGAGUUUGAAACCCCAAAUUUUUGCUCUAUGUAAUCCCGCACUGUUAUCAGGGCACACCAUCCUGUUCUGCAGUUGCUACAGCUACAA
rnacentral:lncRNA from 1 species